UACGAAGGGGGCUAGCGUUGCUCGGAAUCACUGGGCGUAAAGCGCACGUAGGCGGAUUGCUAAGUCAGGGGUGAAAUCCUGGAGCUCAACUCCAGAACUGCCUUUGAUACUGGCGACCUUGAGUCCGGGAGAGGUGAGUGGAACUGCGAGUGUAGAGGUGAAAUUUGUAGAUAUUCGCAAGAACACCAGUGGCGAAGGCGGCUCACUGGCCCGGUACUGACGCUGAGGUGCGAAAGCGUGGGGAGCAAACAGG
rnacentral:rRNA from 1 species